ACGCUCGACACCUACGGGGCAGCAGUGGGGAAUAUUGCACAAUGGGGGAAACCCUGAUGCAGCGACGCCGCGUGGAGGAAGAAGGUCUUCGGAUUGUAAACUCCUGUUGUUGGGGAAAAAGAGGAUGGUACCCAACAAGGAAGUGACGGCUAACUACGUGCCAACAGCCGCGGUAAUCUGAGCGGGCUGGCAAGGC
rnacentral:rRNA from 1 species